CGAUAGCGUAUAUUAACGUUGUUGCAGUUAAAAAGCUCGUAGUUGGAUUUCUGGAGGGAGCGUCGGCCCGUAUUUACGAGUGCGUGACGUCUCUGUCCAUCCUUGCGGGAAGGCACGGCAUUGAUUUGUUGUGUCGGAUCGCAUCAUUUACUGUGAAAAAAUUAGAGUGUUCAAAGCAGGCUUUCGCUUGAAUACAUUAGCAUGGAAUAAUAAGAUAGGACUUUGGUGCUGUUUUGUUGGUUGAGCCUAAAGUAAUGAUUAAUAGGGAUAGUUGGGGGCACCUGUAUUGCGUUGUCAGAGGUGAAAUUCUUGGAUUUACGCAAGACAAACAGCUGCGAAAGCGUCUGCCAAGGAUGUUUUCAUUAA
rnacentral:rRNA from 1 species